rnacentral:misc_RNA from 1 species
AAAGUCGUAACAAGGUUUCCGUAGGUGAACCUGCGGAAGGAUCAUUACUGAAUGACGUGCGUCCUGGUUGUGGUAGACCAUUUCCUCCCAUCGGGUUUGGUCAGAUGUCGGACCAGCUGGGAUUUGGUCUACCAUGCCUUUCACCAAACAAACCUGUCGUUGUAUGUAUGGCAUUAAAGUGCAUAAACAUAAAUAUAACUUUCAACAACGGAUCUCUUGGCUCUC